AUGGUGUAUGGGCCAUUUUUUCCCGGACUCUCGUACCCGUUCACGGGUCCGUGUACGGGUCCGUGUACGCGGCGUGUGCCACGUACGUGGUUUUGCCUAGUUUUCCAUGGCGCGCGUCCACUUCCGUCCACGACGGCCGUCCGCCAGUUUUUUCCCGUGUCCACGUACACCCCGUUCACGGGUCCGUGUAUGGGUAUGUGUACGCGGCGUGUGCCACGUACGUGGUUUUGCCCAGUUUUCCAUGGCGCGCGUCAACUUCCGUCCACGACGACCGUCGGCCAGUUUUUUCCCGUGUCCACGUACAGCCCGUUCACGGGUCCGUGUAAGGGUCCGUCUACGCGGCGUGUGCCACGUACGUGGUUUUGCCAGUUUUCCAUGGCGCGCGUCAACUUCCGUCCACAACGGCUGUCGGCCAGUUUUUUGCCGUGUCCUCGUACAGCCCGGUCACGGCUCCCUUUAAGUGUUUUUGCCUGGUGA
rnacentral:rRNA from 1 species